rnacentral:lncRNA from 1 species
GGGGGCUUGGGUCCGGACAACGAGGCCUGGCUGCCCGGGCGGGCGGGGCGGGGCGCCUGGGGCUCCGCAGCGACACGGUGGGGGCGCGGGCUCUCUGCCCUGCGGCGGCGCCGGGAAACCCCUUCCUCUGCGGCGGGUCCCUGGGGAUUCUGGGCGAGGCGAAGGCGACGUGGAUUCUCCUCCCCCUCACGCCUGCCUCUCCCACCCUCUUCCCCGAGACCUCGGAGGUGGCCGAAAAGUGGGAAGGGAGGCGAGCACACGGACAGAGAAGAAAGCCAGCAGGAAAGCGUCGCCGAGGGUCUGUCCACGGAUCUUUCGGAUCCAAGUGUUCGGGAUGAGACUGGCCGAUCCGGGAAUCGCAUCCGGCGCCCACACCCCGCAAACUCGUGGGCAGUUGCGGGUGCAAGAGGCCGCGGAGGGGCGACGCGCCCGCGGGAACCCCUCCUUGCGCAUCUCCGGCGCCCCAGCUUCAGCCUAUUCUCGCCCGGACCCUUGGUUUAUUUGGUGAAAUCUGGGAACGUGGAGAGGAUAGAAGAGCAGUUUUUCUUUCUUUCCUUUUUUCUUUUUAACUAAAUGUGCGUGUUAACUCAUCGUUUCUUGGAUAUAAGUGUCCUCAGCGAAUUCUGGAUUCUUGGGGAAAACCUACGAGCACUGAGCAGGACAGGAACACGCCAACUUUGGUUCCAGUGCCAUCUGCAGUAAAUUCCUUUGCUUUGCUCUUCCCUCCUCCGUGUCCUGGAGAUGGAGGCCCCCGGGGGCUGCCCCAGGACACCAGCACACCCAGGACCUGGAGCCGGAGAGUAGAGCUGAGGGCGGGGAGGGCGCGGGGGAGGGGAGGCGGGCUGCAGGCCCCGGGCGUGGAGUUUACCUGCACCGUGGGAACCUCCCUUCCCCCGGGCGCGCAGCCCUGGCUCCGCCCUGCGGGGCCCCGCCCCAGGGAAGCCGGGGCCGCUGUCGGGCCGCCGCAGGGGAAGCUCGCCUGCGCAGGUGUCGCAGGGUCACACCCGCCCCGGGGGUUGCAAACCGCAAGCGAAAGUCGAGAGGGGCUGGAGCUUUUCCUCUAAUCCGUUUUACACUGUGAAAACCGCAAAGCUGUCGCCUAGGCGGCCACUUUUUAAUUGGGAGGCAAACAGACGAAACGCCAAAACAAAUGCGCAAGCUGACUUUCUUUCCGGAUGGUUUUCCUUCUCAACGAAACGCCCGCUCUCUGGUGAAAGGGAGGCCGAUCUGCGCUCACGUUUGCUCGCUUCGGGGCCUGGCCUGGGGCGCACGGGAGCCCGCGCCCCCAGCGCGUGGGGCAGAUCGGACUGCACCCCUCUCCCGGCGCUUUUCCCCCAGCCUCGGUCGUCCCCCGCGUCCCUCCUCGCCAUCCGCUCCAUGCACGCCCCAUCCCGCAAGCUCCACGCAAGCUUUCUCGCUCGCGCUGCAGAGCAGAUGUGGGUGCUUGGGUGUUGGGGGCUCCGAGCGCGUUGAAUUGGCUCCGAUUCAGAUUCCUCCCAGGGCGGGAAGAGUAGGGGUUUGGGCCGCCAAUCCCGGGGCUCGGAGACCUCCAAGCUGACCAGAAGAAGCACUUGCAGUCGCGCUUCAAGUCUCGCAGUUUUCCCUGGGGAAAAGCAGAAGUUGGUGGACACACUGCACGGCGCCAGAGCAAACUCUGAACUUACCGCGCGCCCUGCUGGGGUGCUCAGCCCCUCGGGGGAACCCCAGAGAAGCGAGGAGAGCAGGGAGGUGGGGAGGCCGCCCAGGUCAGGCGGGCCGAGUCCCAGGAUUGUGGGUGUCCCCCUCCCACGUUGAUCUGUUAAGGGUCCUACGUGGAAAAUCAUUUUUAAUCAAACUGUGAUGGUGGAGGUACAAAGAGGGAAGGAAGACAAAAGAAAGGAGACCUUAUUUAAGAAGGAAAACUAGGAAAAAUGGAGUGGUCAAACUGUGGAGAGGGAGGGAAGGAAAGAAGAAUGGAGAAGGCUUUCCUUCUUUGUUCUAUAAAAGCCCUAGCACUUUCUUUGAAAAUCAAAGUACGGAGAGGCUGUCCUUCUUGGAGCAUGGUUAUGUAAGUGAGAGACACUGCGCGUUAGUUCACCUUUAAAGCAUUUGCUGGGUGGAGUAAAGUUUUUAGAAGGUUCUUUCUCGCCCGGCCCCUGUUUGAAGCUCAACUCAUUUUGAUUUAAAGCAGAUUUGAGAUAAAAAUUUCAGAAGAGAAACUGUGUGUAUACAUAUAUGCAGAUGCAGCAGAGUUUGUAUUCCCUUUAGUUUAUUUCUAAGAGGUUCUAUAGUAAAUUGUAUAUGAUGGCUGGUAUAUUUUUUUCUAAUAUUGUAUUGUCACCCGAGAGAAGAGUCCAGAGUUAUCUUUCUCUCCGCUUCCCUUUAAUAAAUCUCCUAAGAGAGAGAACUCUCAUAUGAUCGUGGCUCUUUUCCUCUCUUUCUGGUUUGCUAUCUUUCCCACACAUGAACACACAAACACACAAUAUACAUCACGCGCAGACUUUGCCCUGAUCAGCCUGUAAAGUAUGAUAUAUAAAUUCAUGCCCCUGUUUUCAGUUUCCCCUGAAGUUUAGAACACUGUCGAGGGUCUCCUUUUGUUCCUCCCCAUGUGUGUGCUUCAUCAGGGAUGUCUGGUAAACCAACACAACAGUCAUCUUUGCUUUGAGUUUGUUUGUGAUUAAAUGGAAAAUAACAUUAAUAAACGGUUUAAAUGGUAUUUUUUUAUAGCAAAGUAUUAACAAGUAAUAAAAUGAACAGUAGUUGUUCCAAAUCUUCAGACUGAUGGCUUCCCAUUGGCAGUCAUAUUUUGGCAAAAGUAUUUCAUAUUAAUUGAAAAUGACUAAAACAGUGCAUGCAUUCCGUUAAGAGAGGCUAACUCACUGAGCUUUACCUCCAGCAGCUUAAACUAUCCAGUUCAAAUUACUUAAGUAAUUCCUACUGAAGGAGGGGUUGGGAAAUCAGGAACUGUGGAAUAAUUUGUGCUUUUGGUCUUUUCAUGAAGCUUUAAUUAAAUCUGAUUUCUGUGAAAACUAAAACUAAAACAAUACGAUAACCCCUUAAGUGGCCUUGUAGAAUAAUAUGCGAUUCUUAUAAAAAAAUGUGUGCCCACUAUAUUUGGUGAAACUAGAUGAAUACAAAUAUAACUAUUAAGUUGUUUUUCCAGUGAUUUUUCUCUCUCAAAUGUUAGACAUGUAGGACUCCAGAACAUGCACUUUAAUGUGUUCUGAUAAUAAGAAAACCGUUGCUGGUUUUCUCAGAGGAGCACAGCUAUCUAGGGGCCAUGCCACAAUCAUUAGAUCAACACCGUCUUUCCUGUCACAUCAUCGUCUACAUGAAAUUCCAUUUUAGGAAAUAUGCAAGAAUAUUACAUUUGUUUCAGAAGCUUGAAAAUACAAUAGAAUUUGAAGUAUUGAAAAAUGUGAUUCUUAGUUGACGGUAUCUUAGAAGUUGCAGGGGUAUCUCUUUUUGAGAUGACUUUAAUAAUGACACUUUAAUAAUGUUGCAAAGUAAGGAAAGAUUUCAAUAGCAGGCAAGAUGUGAUGAAUGGACACAAGGAACAAUGAAGCUAUUGACAAAACAUGCCAACUUUUAGAAUUCUAUCUAAAUUAUUAUUUUUCCUUACAGUGCAGAGAAAGACACCCAAGUACAUCAAUGUUCAUCAGAUGCAGGGUGAUAGAAAUAUUUGACUUUCGUCAAUUGUUCCUGCCAGCUAUUUCGAUGAAAUAAAUGGAAUGUCGCUUAACAGGCAGAUGCUUUGAUACAUUUUCUUCUUAAAGGAUCUGAUUCCUGGCGUCCAAAGGAAACUGGAAUUUAAGAAAAUAACAGAAUGCGGAAUCUCAACAGUUGUUUUAAUGGCGGCUAGUUCGUCCCGUUCCAGAAGGCACAAUCCUUCGCCAUGGGACUUUGCUGCUCCCAUCCAGACGUGGAAUCUCUUCUCCACCCCCUGUAAUGCGGGCUGGCCUUUGUGACUGACUUUGACAAAUUUGAUAUAGUGGAACUGAUGUUUUCUAGUUCUGGAAUUGAGGCCUCAAGAAGCUUUGUGGCUGCCACCUUUGUCCUCUUGGAACGCCAUGCCACGCAGAAGCCCGGGAUGAAAGGUCAGGAGGAAGACGGAGGGACGCAGCUGUCUCUGCUGUUCGCUGAGUCCAGCUCCCCGCACCCCACUGAAUGCUGUCACACACAUGAGCCCAGGCAAAGUUGGCACAAAAAGCACACAGCCAACAGAGUCAUGAAAAAUAAAAAAAAAUCCUUGCUGUUUUAAGCCAGUAAGCUUUGAGGUGGUUUGUUAUAUAGCAAUAGUAACCAUACUUGUCUUGUUAUCUGCAAUUAUUUCAAUUGUAUAAAAUUGAGAGAGAAUUUGUUGAUAUGUCAGGUGUCUAAAUUGUGAUCAAAUCAAAGAGCUCUCAGUUUUUUGGUUUUUUUUUUUUUUUUUUUGAGUAAGAUUAGCCCUGAGCUAACAUCUGCUGCCAAUCCUCCCCUUUUUGCCGAGGAAGACUGGCCCUGAGCUAAAAUCUGUGCCCAUCUUCCUCUACUUUAUAUGUGGGAUGCCUACCACAGCAUGGCUUGCCAAGUGGUGCCGUGUGUGCACCUGGGAUCCGAACCGGCGAACCCCAGACCGCCAAAGCAAAUGUCGGAACUUAACCGCUGCGCCACUGGACCGCCCCGAGCUCUCACUAUUUUAAGAGCCUGAGUUAGCAUAUGUGAAGCCACCACGGGGGCCCAAGGUUACUAUGUGUGAUUGUUAUCAUGAUGUUGAUCCCUGAGGUUGGUGAGAUUUAAGAAAGUCACAUUAUUUUAUAUCAUCCCUACGGCAAUGCAGUGAAGCAGGCAGGGUGGUUAUUAUGUUCAUUUUGAAGAUGGAGAAACAGGUUCAGGACAGCCACAGAAGUGUUGAGACCAACAGGCUUGAGAAUGCAUAUCCCUGAGGAGAUGUCAAUGAACCUCAUUUUUCUCACUUGGAAGAUGAAGGGAUUGUAUCAGAGGAUUCCUGAAGUCCCGUUAGCCACGCCAGACGUCUCAGC